rnacentral:rRNA from 1 species
CGGGCCUACGGGACGCAGCAGUGAGGAAUAUUGGUCAAUGGACGCAAGUCUGAACCAGCCAUGCCGCGUGCAGGAAGACGGCUCUAUGAGUUGUAAACUGCUUUUGUACGAGGGUAAACUCGGAUACGUGUAUCCGUUUGAAAGUAUCGUACGAAUAAGGAUCGGCUAACUCCGUGCCAGCAGCCGCGGUAAUACGGAGGAUUCAAGCGUUAUCCGGAUUUAUUGGGUUUAAAGGGUGCGUAGGCGGAAUGCCAAGUCAGCGGUAAAAUCGCGGGGCUCAACCUCGCUCCGCCGUUGAAACUGGC